CCAAUUUUAUCGGGGGGACUUCGGUCCCUGUCUGAACCCUUGUCUUUUGCGUACUAUUUGUUUCCUUGGUGGGCUUUGCCUGCCAAUAGGACAACUAUUAAACCUUUUGUAAUUGCAAUCAGCGUCAGAAAAACAUAAUAAUUA
rnacentral:misc_RNA from 1 species